rnacentral:rRNA from 2 species
GGAUGUGAUCAUAGCAGUACUAAAGCACCAGAUCCUAUCAGAACUUCGAAGUUAAGAAUAUUUGGAUGAUAAUAGUACUAGGAUGGGUGACUUCCUGGGAAGGUUCUUGUGUUGCAUUCC